AUGAUGAAUCUUUAAUAACUAAUAAGAGCUUUGUCCUGAAUAGAUAUUUUGAUGUAUUGCCUUAAGAAAAGGGAGGUUAGAAGUGAAAGAAAUGGUUAUUCACUGCUAGCAUCUGCUCUCCUUUUACACAUCCCUUCCUGUUUGUGGAACAGCUCCUCUCUCCUGCUGCUCCAUCACAGUCCAUCAGAAGACAUUCUCUUUUGGAAGAGCUAGACAGUGUUUACCUGCCACAGCAGAUGGAAGCAUCACCACCUGAGGACAAGCACUACAACUGUGUCCCUUUCUUUUUCUGGUCACGGAUAACAAAGGUGAUGAUGAGAUGGAGACCUGCACAAGCCCUUCUGCAAACUUUUUGUUUUGUGGUUUCUGUGGAAGGAAAGUCAGGUGUCUGCUUCACGUGUACCCUCCAACAGGUGGCUGACCUGAAGUUUUAAAAGAGCAGGAGUCUGAGUUCUAGCCAGCUCCCAGAGAGCCUCAGUUCCAGACAAAAGGGAAGGGACUGUCAAAUGGUUUGGAAAGAAAACAGCCUCAGAAUGAAAGGAAUAAGGGUGGCUUUUCUGUUGUGAGAAACUCUGAAGCUCUUCACUCCAGGAAGGGGUGGCAUCUGUUACUGCCUGUUCACUGCAGAGAGAUUUACAGCACCCCACCAUUUCAAGAGUUUCAUGGAAAGAGGAAAAUAUGCUUCCUUCAGGCUUGGCUGGAUUCAAAAUUAGCUGCUCUUAUUCCUUCAUCAUUUCAUCUCUCUCUUGUUAGCAGUUUCACAUCCUGAAAGUGGCCUGGUGUUACACAUUCGGGGCUACAAUUUUUGUCAACUUGGUGAUUAUACUGCUUUUGAGGUUAAAAGUUCUCAACGUCUGAGUUUUAACUGUCCUCUGCUUGACCUACCUAAAGGCAUAUUUCUUUGGUUUCAGAAAAUAACAAGAAUUUCUGUUCUGAUUUAAAUCUCACUUAUUAUGAAGCUUCUCUGUUUUCAAAAUAGCCUCUCUAAAGAAAACUUUUUUUUUUAGUGUCUUUAAAUUUGAAGAGCCAUCCCAAAAGGCACAGUAACGUAUUAAUAGCUCUUGGAGAGACAACUUCUGUCUUUCUGAAUUUGGCACAGACAUGGUGUAAGUAUUGUCAGAUAACAACUUCCCCAAUUAACAUAAAUAGCAUAUGCUCAAAUGGCUUUUGUUCCUAGUAAAGAACCCACUGAAGUUGUUUGAUUUUUUCGAUACAUGAAACAUUUUAUUAGUCAUCCAAUAUGGUUAUCUGGAAGUUGUUAUUUCCUGAUUAAUAAUAUAAAGAGUAUUGGCAAGCACGGUCCUGAAAAACGAUUUGUCAUCUUAAGCAUUUCAAGAGAAAGACAUGAUUAAUGUGCUGAAUUGAAACAGGAGUUAGAUGAAUGCAAGCACCAGGUUAUGUAUGGAAAAUAUUUUCCCACCAUUCCUGAUUUCUUCCAUGUCUCUAGAGAGUUAUUAGUAUAUAUAGAUGUUUAGUAUCCAUUUUUUUGGUAGGACUAACAUAAGAGUAUGUGAAGAUUUUACCUUGAAAAGAAGGAUGUGGACAGGAUGAUAUUUACUUUUAUUACUGUUUUAUUUUCCUGUUUUUAUAAUAAAUCCAUUUGUUCAUCAGACAGAAUGCCCUGACACUACUUUUGAUACAGUACUCUAUCUUUGUAAGAAAAACAUUGCUUUCAAACCAUUUUUUUCCUGAGGUAGAAAUCAUGUCUAAAAAGCAACUGUUUGGUACUAAAGGAAGGAAUGCUGUUGGCUAAAGAAGCUGUUUAAAAUGUUAGUGAAAUAUAUACAAGACUUCUAUAAUAGUCUUCUACUUUUUAUCUAGAUAUUUCUGCUAUAUAUACUGUAUAUUAAAAAGCCUACUCUUAGAAGCUAAUGAAUAUAUUUAUAAGAAAAUAAUAUAGAUCAUUGUAAGAAGUGAAGACAAGAUAAGAAUUACUGACCUUUACUCAUUUUAUAUGUGUGUACAACCUUUGUAUUAACCCACAGAAAGGCUAUCUGCUCAGCUUUGGUCUUAGUCAAGUACUUGACAGAAAAAAAAACCAUGAUGGAAUUUCUUUAAUUAGUUUGAAUUCAUUCCUCAGUAAAAAAACAAAAAACAAACAGAGUAAACCAAGAUACCAUCAUGAUACAAAAAUAUUAUUUUGAUAUAAGUAGGUGUGAAGAUGCAUUUAUAGCAACUUGAGUUUGUGAGAAUAAAUCAUAAAAGUACUGUUACUGUCCAUUUUAGUGUCAAUCUUUAUUCUCCUUCUGUUUCUAGUAGUGUGGAAAGUCUGAACUGACAACUAAAGAAAUUCCUAGGAACGUGACUUUGAUAAGCUGAGCUCUUCCUUCUCCUUACUCUUCUAUCCUGCUGCCUACUUAUUCUUCAUUUCUGCUUAGUUGA